UACGGAGGGGGCUAGCGUUGUUCGGAAUUACUGGGCGUAAAGCGCACGUAGGCGGCUUUGUAAGUUAGAGGUGAAAGCCCGGGGCUCAACUCAGGAAUUGCCUUUAAGACUGCAUCGCUAGAAUUGUGGAGAGGUAAGUGGAAUUCCGAGUGUAGAGGUGAAAUUCGUAGAUAUUCGGAAGAACACCAGUGGCGAAGGCGACUUACUGGACACAUAUUGACGCUGAGGUGCGAAAGCGUGGGGAGCAAACAGG
rnacentral:rRNA from 1 species